rnacentral:rRNA from 1 species
AGGCUUAACACAUGCAAGUCGAGGGGUAUAGUUUUCGGACUAAGAGACCGGCGCACGGGUGCGUAACGCGUAUGCAAUCUACCUUUUACAGAGGGAUAGCCCAGAGAAAUUUGGAUUAAUACCUCAUAGUAUAGCAGUUUCGCAUGAAACCACUAUUAAAGUCACAACGGUAAAAGAUGAGCAUGCGUCCCAUUAGCUAGUUGGUAAGGUAACGGCUUACCAAGGCUACGAUGGGUAGGGGUCCUGAGAGGGAGAUCCCCCACACUGGUACUGAGACACGGACCAGACUCCUACGGGAGGCAGCAGUGAGGAAUAUUGGACAAUGGGCGCAAGCCUGAUCCAGCCAUGCCGCGUGCAGGAUGACGGUCCUAUGGAUUGUAAACUGCUUUUGUACGAGAAGAAACACUCCUAUGUAUAGGAGCUUGACGGUAUCGUAAGAAUAAGGAUCGGCUAACUCCGUGCCAGCAGCCGCGGUAAUACGGAGGAUCCAAGCGUUAUCCGGAAUCAUUGGGUUUAAAGGGUCCGUAGGCGGUUUAGUAAGUCAGUGGUGAAAGCCCAUCGCUCAACGGUGGAACGGCCAUUGAUACUGCUGAACUUGAAUUAUUAGGAAGUAACUAGAAUAUGUAGUGUAGCGGUGAAAUGCUUAGAGAUUACAUGGAAUACCAAUUGCGAAGGCAGGUUACUACUAAUUGAUUGACGCUGAUGGACGAAAGCG